UACGUAGGCAGCAAGCGUUGUUCGGAGUUACUGGGCGUAAAGGGUGUGUAGGCGGUUCCUUAAGUUUGCUGUGAAAUCUCCCGGCUUAACCGGGAGGGUGCGGUGAAUACUGAGGGACUAGAGUACGAGAGAGGAAAGUGGAAUUCCUGGUGUAGCGGUGAAAUGCGUAGAUAUCAGGAGGAACACCGGUGGUGUAGACGGCUUUCUGGACCGUAACUGACGCUGAGACACGAAAGCGUGGGUAGCAAACAGG
rnacentral:rRNA from 1 species